rnacentral:lncRNA from 1 species
CCAUUGACUCUCUGAGAGGUGAUAUGUUGCACUGACUUUUCUCUCCUUGUCUUCUGUGGCCCUGUUUGGAGGAAGAGCAGUAGGGUCAGCUUUCUCAUUACCACAGUCCAGACAUGGCAUGCAUAAUGUCUCUCUCUCUCUCUUUCUCUCUCUCUCUCUCUCACACACACUCUGUCUCUCUCUCUCUCUCUCUCUCUCUCUCUCUCUCUGCUAGAGAGUGUGUAGCCUCCUUUCUUUGAACUCUUUAGCCCAGUAUAAAUCUGAUUUAGGCCCAGUUGUGCAGUGCUUGGAGACGUGCUCAGCAGCCCACGUGUGCCGAACACCUGUCAGCUUUCUGAAAUGUGUUCUUCACCCGCCUGUGUGGGUGUGCUUGUGUUUGUGUGUGUCUGUGAGUGUACGCUCUGGGAAUUGCUAGCCUCAUCUACCAGUUGCUUCAAGUGACUUUUUUUUUUCCUGCAGUGUCUGUCAGCAGCUUGGUGCCAUCUCUGUCUUGCUUCCUCAGCAGAUGUGCAACCCGACGGCUGAAGAGGGAUUUAUGAUGGAGCUAACCAGGCUGGGGACGGGGCCUCCUUGUCGUUUCAGAUCAAUUCAGCAGACGUAUUCACCCUUUCCUUUCCCGAGUCAAGCCACCCGCAUGCUAACGAAUCAUCGUGCCUGAUUGGCGUGCUUAGUGACAGAGGAAACUGCACCCAGAAAAACGGUUCAUCGGGCUUACCUUCCUUCCGCGGCCCAGAUGAACGGAUAAAAUGGUAGCUGCCUUUCCCUCUAGUUUUCUAGUGACUGAGAGUGUGAAAGAAUUCUUGUUGACCUGUAAAUCAUUGCACAAGACACUCAGUGGACCCAAGACAGCCUCGUGCAAGUAAUUAGAUGUGUUUAACAUCUGUUCCCUAUUGUGGAGGGGCUUCUGCUGAAGUUGGUAAUCAAUAAAUAUCAUUGAUUGAUUGAGUAAUUCGACUCAAAGCUGUUGUCUUUCCCCCGGUCAGUGACAGGGCAGAGUAACCCUGGAAAUAGAAACAGAAAGUUCCUAGCUUGCAACUGUCACUCAAUCAGUGCUAUUUAUUGAACACUUAAUGUAAGAGCACUGUACUAAGCCCUUGGGAGAGUACCUACAAUAAAGUUGGUAGACGCAUUCCUUGGCCUCAGCGAGCUUAGAGUCUAGAGGGGGAGACAGACAGCAAUAUAAAUUAGUAAAUUAUGGAUAUAUACAUAGUGCGGUGGGGUUGAAGGCAGGGUGAAUAUCAGGUGCCCAAAGGGUACAGUUCCAAG